GACACACAUGUCGUGGUUAAAAAACAAUGUAUUUAAUGUAGUGUCUUUUUAAUAGGAUCUAAAACAACUACAUAUGAUAAGAUAUAAUUUUACUUAUUUGUUUUUGUUUGGUUAUUCUCGGUAAAUGACUGGUUUAAUGUAUUUAAUGUCAGCACUCCAGUGUGUGACUUCCGGGCUAGCCAGUGACCAACAAAACAGAAUUCUAAAUGAAAUGUCCCAAGUUAUGAAUAAAUUAAAGGUCAUUGUAGUACAGUAUCCACAAAAACAAACAUUAAGUUAUCGAUACAGAAAAAGUGGCGAUGAAAAAAAUUAAAAUUCUGUUGAAAAAGUAAUAAAUAAAUAUUUGGAAAAAGACAAUUGUACCAAGUGAAAGAAUUUGUUUAUUUUGUGACUAACGAUAAGAGUAAGCAAUAUAUCUAUUAUAAGUAAUAUUAAACACAAUUGAGAAACAAAUUAACCAGAUGUGAUAAUUUUUGUUUAGUGAGUGAGAAAAUAUACCAUAUGUAGAAAUUUACUACACUACUUAAUUGUAGUGCUGGUUCCGCAAGUGUUCCGAAGAGAAGCGUUAUUUAAGGAAUGUCAGGGUAAAUGUGAAGAAGUGACAUCUUUUACCACAAUUUUUUGGGAAUUACUGCACAUUUUCUAAACAACAAUUUAGAAAUUAAACAUGCAGUAUUAGGAUGCGAUCCUACUGAUGAAGGACAUACGGGUAAAGUGCACCAGUGCCCCAGUGCCAGGUGUACCAUGGAAACCACGGAUGUGCCACUCGCCAUCCCCUACGAAAUGGAGAUAACAAAUCUUGUGAUCAUCAUAGAACUUCCGUACAAGCAAGUAAAGGAGUUCAGAACAAGAAUACUGACCUUACAAAAAAAACUCACACAUAAAGUAGCAGCUCACCUCAAACGAGGAAGAAAAUAUAAAAACUGAUGGAACAACACCAGGGGCAAACCCAGAACCAAGAGAUAAUAAUCCACAAACAGAAAGACAAAACCUUGAAGAAAAAGAAGAAUAAAUCCAUAAAAGUCACAAGAAACGAGAAGUGCUUCAUAAAGAUAUGAAAGUUUUAAUCCGAUGAUUGUGUCUCCUUCCUUCCGUCAUUUGAAGAAAAACUGUAUACCUAGGAACAAAAUUUCGAGGUCCCUUCAAGCGAAUCAUUGGCUUCGAUUUCAGUCAUAUUAAAGAUCCUUAAAGGUUCUACUCAACGUCGUCAAAUCUUUAGGCAACUAGGUAUUUCUUCAACAACAGAAAAAGGAACUGGUACGGCGUGAAUGUCUGUAGAUGGCUAAUUCUCCCUGCCAGUCGACUGAUUUCACGGAUGCCUUUUUUUAAGUGUGAAGUGGUGAACCAAGGUUUCAUCUAUAGCUGUGACUGGAUGCAAAAAUUUGGCUUUAUUGUUGUGAAAUUUAGGCAAACUUAGUCAUUGAUGGUCGCCAGAAGCGUAGUGUCCUCAAAAUUGGAGCGUCGUAUGCAUCUUGGAGUACUCUUGUAGCAGCCUUGUACAUUAAGGAUUUUCAUAUUUUUAAUAAUGGAUUCGAUCUGCCUUAAGAUAGUACACUAAAGUAAUUGGAUAUUGGUUAUGCCUUUCUGUGCAUUCAGUUUUCACUUUUUUAUUCCCAGAAGUCUUCUGAUAUAUCCAACUAUAUUUCGCAAUAGUAAACAUGCCACUAUUUCUUGUUUUAGUCUCAGUCGAAGUCCUUUAGCUUGAUUAGAUUUCCAAUCACUUCCGUUUGUAGUCUAAUCACUCUGGUGAUUACAUUUUCAUGUUAGUUACUACUACUACUUUUACAGAUGUACAAUUUGUCAAGAAUAAUAUAAUGUUAUAGGAUAUAAAAUGGGAAACAGCAGAAAGUUUAACAAAAUUUGUACUAUUGUAUUAGAUUACAUACAUUAACGAGUUAAAACAAAAAAAUUUAAUAUAAAAUACAAUAAUACAAUAAAUAUUAGAUUCAUUGUUACAAAACUUUGUAUCCUAUACAUAAAUGGAAUAGGAAAAUCUUCUUUAAGGGGGUUGAUUUUGGAUGGUACGUUUGGUUCGAUAGUAAAAGGAAGUAGAAGAGAUACAUCGUCGACAUCCAAAAUCAACUUAGGUUUAAGAUAUUUUCUACAGUGUCCACAAAGACAAACAUUGUGUUAUCGAUACAGAAAAAGUAGCGAUGAAAAAAAUUAAAAUUCUGUUGAAAAAGUAAUAAAUGAAUAUUUGGAAAAGUGAGUUUAACAUUAAAAAACGUAUUUUUAGUGUUAAAUCUCUCAAAUUCAGAAAAUAAUAGAAAAGAGUUCCCCUUUUUGUUUAUUUUGUGACUAAUGAUAAGAGUAAGCAAUAAAUAUAUUAUAAGUAAUAUUAAUUAUAAUUGAGAAACAAAUAUGCAUCUUCUAAUUAAUUGAUUCUUUAUUAUCUAAUAAAGAGUCAAUUAAAGUCUUUAUAAAUAAAUCAGGGAAUGCUUUAACAAUGUAGUACCUAAUCUUAAUUAAGGCUUAACUAGCGAAGAGAAGCGUUUAACAGUGUCCAUCUCUAGAACAAUUGCAGAAAUAGUGUAUCCUCUGCGGCUGUCAGGAAAAUUUUUUGGAACAAGUACGCAGUCAAAUAAAUCUGCGACAGAAUAUAUUGAGAAGUUACUUAGAAACAUAAAGAAUCUAAAGGCGAGAUUUCACGACAUAAAUAAAAAAAACUAUUGUAUUUAAGGAGUGUCAGAUAUCCAUCAGUUCAUAUAUUU